UGGGGAAUAUUGGACAAUGGGCGCAAGCCUGAUCCAGCCAUACCGCGUGGGUGAAGAAGGCCUUCGGGUUGUAAAGCCCUUUUGUUGGGAAAGAAAAGCAGCCGGUUAAUACCCGGUUGUUCUGACGGUACCCAAAGAAUAAGCACCGGCUAACUUCGUGCCAGCAGCCGCGGUAAUACGAAGGGUGCAAGCGUUACUCGGAAUUACUGGGCGUAAAGCGUGCGUAGGUGGUUGUUUAAGUCUGUUGUGAAAGCCCUGGGCUCAACCUGGGAAUUGCAGUGGAUACUGGGCGACUAGAGUGUGGUAGAGGGUAGUGGAAUUCCUGGUGUAGCAGUGAAAUGCGUAGAGAUCAGGAGGAACAUCCAUGGCGAAGGCAGCUACCUGGACCAACACUGACACUGAGGCACGAAAGCGUGGGGAGCAAACA
rnacentral:rRNA from 1 species